GCUCCUCCUGUGUGCACGCUGGAGACGCGAUGCCCGCUGUCCAGGACCCACAGUGCAGUGGGCUUUCAUUCUCCUUUUAAGCUUCUUCAUUCUCCUUUCAAAAUACAUCCUAAGAGAGCCACCUCAGCCUCCUUUGCUGCUAGACUCCUGGUCCAGGCCACCACACUCUCUUCUGAAUGGCCUCUCCUGACCUCUCCAGUCCACCCUGUGCAUGGGGACAGAGCCUCCUUUCAAAAACAACCAAAUACAUCAGUGCUCGGCCCCCAGCACCUGGUUUCACCAGCUUUCAGAGAGAAACCGGAUCCCCUCCCCCACCUCUGUGGCCUCCUCUCCCCUCCCUCCUCCUUGCUCUCCCCUCCCUCCUCCUUGCUCUCCCGGUUCCAGCCACAGCCUCCUUGCAGAUCAUGGAAGAUCCCAGCAGUCUUGUGCCUCAGGGCCUUUGCACUUGCUGUUCCUUCUUCCCUGGAUCUUUACAGCUCUGCUCUGUCCUCUUCUCAGAGAGGCUCCCUCCUGCCCCCUGCCUCUCCCCCAACCCAGCUAAAGUUCCCCACUCCACAUGCUGUCUCUGCAGAGCAGCUCCCCACAGAGGGAGCCAAGGAUGAGGUGGGCCAAGAGGACACAGGUGGAGCCCCCAGAGGUAUAACACAGUCUGCCCCUCACACAGCCCUCUCGGAAGUCCUAACCAUUACAGGCGGGUGGAAACUUCAUUUCACAUUAUUUUGUGUCUGUGCCACCAGGUGCAGCAUGCCCUUCCCCCUGGGCAAAUGUCCAAUUCGGGGCUCCCCUCCCCCUGGGCAGAUGCCUGUCUCGGGGCUCCCCUCCCCCUGGGCAGAUGCCUGUCUCGGGGCUCCCCUCCCCCUGGGCAGAUGCCUGUCUCGGGGCUCCCCUCCUCCUGGGCAGAUGCCUGUCUCGGGGCUCCCCUCCUCCUGGGCAGAUGCCUGUCUCGGGGCUCCCUUCCUCCUGGGCAGAUGCCUGUCUCGGGGCUCCCCUCCCCCUGGGCAGAUGCCUGUCUCGGGACUCCCCUCCUCCUUCCCAGGUCUGCAGCAGGAGGACUCUUCCCCUGGACCCUGGGGCGAGGCCUGUGCUGAGCACCCGAGAGGAACGAGCCAAGAGGGGGGCCUGCUGCGACUGUCAGUGGGUCCUCCGAGUCACGUGCUUUUGGGGAAAUGGGUUCAUCCUAAAGUCAAGUCCCGCUGGCCCCCUUUCUCUCGAGGUCUGGGAUGUUGA
rnacentral:lncRNA from 1 species